GGUGAGUAAGAGUGAUAAAAGCAGAUGUCUUUGUUUUAUUUCUGAUCUUUGAGGGAAAGCGUUAAAUUUUUCAUCAUUAAGUAUAAUAGUGGCUUUAACCAGUUGAGGAAAUUCACUUCUAUUUCUAGUUUUCUGAGAGCUUUUGGUAUGAAUUAGUGUUGAAUUUUUUCAAGUGCUCAUUCUCAAGUGGAAUGAUCAUGUGAUAUUUUUCUUUAGUCUGUUAAAUGGUGGAUUACACUGAUUGAUUUUCAAAUAUUGAACUAACCUUACAUCCCUGAAAUUAGCCCACUUUGUCAUGGAAUAUACUUAAUUUCUCUAAAAUAUUAUUGAAUUCUAUUUGCUUAUAUAUUCUUAAGAACUUUUACAUGUAUUUUCAUGAGUGAUAUUGGCUAAUGAUUUUCUUUUUUUGUACUAUCUCCCUAUGAUUUUGAUAUCAGGGUAAUAAUAGCUUCAUAAAAUGAAUUAGGCAUGUUAUCUUAUAUUUUCUGGAGGAAAGUGUGUAAAGUUGGUGUUAAUUCUUCUGUAAACAUUGGGAAUAAUUCUCCAGUGAAAUCAUCUGGGCCUGAUAAUUUAUUUUGGGAGAACUUUAAGAUUAUGAAUUCAAUUUUCUUAAUAGUUAUUGUACUACACAAAUUAUUUCGUUCUGAAUUAGUUGUUGUACUUUGUGAUUUUCAAGGAAUUGGCCUAUUUCAUCAAAAUUGCUAGAGUUUUGCAUGUAGAAUUGCCACAGUAUUCCCAUAUUAUCUUUUUAAUAUCUGCAGGAUCUGUCAUGAUAUUCCCUGUUGUAUUAGUAUUGGUAAUUUGUGGAUUUUCUUUUUUUUCCCUUUGUCAGUCUUGCUAGAGUUUUGUCAAUGUAAUUGAUCUUCUCAAAGGGUGAGGUUUUAGUUUUAUUGAUUUUUUGUAUUGUUUUUCUGGUUUCACAUUAAUUUGUGAUUAAUGAUUUCUGAAUUUUAUUUUCUUCUAUUUAUUUUGUGUUCAUUUUUCUUUUCUUUGUCUAGGUUCUUGAGGUAGGAGUUUAGGUUACUGAUUUCAGACUGUUUCUCUGUUCUAAUGUAAGCAUUUAAUGCUGUAAAUUUCCCUCUAAGCACUGCUUUAGCUGUGUCCCACAAAUUUUUAUAUGCUGUACUUUCAUUUUUAUUCAGUUCUUUUGGAACUUCCUCUUUGAUCCAUGGAUUAUUUAGAAAUGCAUUGUUUAUCAUUCUGUUGUUGAUUUCUAGUUUUCUUCCUUUGUAGUCAGAGAACACACUUUGUAUGGUUUCAAUCCUUUAAAUUUGUUGAGGUUUGUUUUAUGGUCUAGGAUAUGAUCUAUCUCAGUAUAGGUUCCAUGGGCUCUUGAGAAGAAUGUGUAUUCUGCUGUUUGUCUGGUGGAGUGUUCCAUAAAUGUCAAUUAGAUCCUAUUGGUUGAUAGUGUUGUUGAGUUUUCUAUAUUCUUGCUGAUUUUCUGCCUAGUUAUUAUAUCAAUUGUUGAAAGAGGGCUAUUGAAGUUUACAACUGUAAUUGUAGACUUGUCUAUUUCUCUUUUCAGUUUCACCAGUUUUUGUUUCAGAUAUUUCAUAACUCUGUUGCUUUUUGUACACACAUUUACGACUUCUAUGUUCUCUUGGUAGAGUCACCCUUCUAACAUUAUGUAGGGCCAGGCUCAGACAAUGAUCCAUGCCUGUAAUCCCA
rnacentral:lncRNA from 10 species